CAGCAGCCGCGGUAAUACGUAGGUGGCAAGCGUUGUCCGGAAUUAUUGGGCGUAAAGGGCUCGCAGGCGGUUUCUUAAGUCUGAUGUGAAAGCCCCCGGCUCAACCGGGGAGGGUCAUUGGAAACUGGGAAACUUAAGUGCAGAAGAGGAGAGUGGAAUUCCACGUGUAGCGGUGAAAUGCGUAGAGAUGUGGAGGAACACCAGUGGCGAAGGCGACUCUCUGGUCUGUAACUGACGCUGAGGAGCGAAAGCGUGGGGAGAGAACAGGAUUAGAUACCCCGGUAGUCCCUGUCUCUUAUAC
rnacentral:rRNA from 1 species